GGUACGGAGAGGCCUUAUUCAUGACUUCUAAGCUAAUCAGUGGGGUGACUGAAUUCCUAAACACAGAGACGGAGCUGAAUGAGCUGAAGGAGUUUAUCCAGAUCAGUGGAGGUGGAGCGGGGCCGGCGUUGGCCCGGGCCGUGGAGAUCGUGGAGGCCAACGUGAGAUGGCACAGUCUCUACGAACGCCAGAUCUUCCAGUGGCUAAGGAAGUCUCCCAACGGUUAACACACAGCCAACAGGGUUCAGCCCAAGCAUGGCAUCUCUCUGACACUAUUACAGACCCAACAACAUCAGGCGGAGAAAAAAUAUCGGAAAACAUAUGUUCAUUUCAAUUGUAAAAUAAGACAAACUUGAUGAGAAAGUCACUGGCAAACCGGAGAGAGAGAGAGAACAGUGAAGACAGACGACGUGAUUGGCUCAGAUGACCUUAGUCUGACCGACCGUUUGGAAGGUGGAUUUGAUUAGGAAUAAAUAUUGCAUGGUGGCUUUCAUCUCCAGUGACAGUUUUAUUUUUCAACGCAUGGUUUUCACCCCUCUGAUUGGUUUUCCACUAAGCUGACCCCUGUGACCUUUUCAAUGACCUUUGAACCUCCGGUCAACUCUUUUAGUAGCCUAUGAGGAGGAAGACAAACUAGAGCUACAAGAGGCACGGGAAGAGGACCUGGCAGCAUUAUGAUUACAACCGUGACAAGCACAAGUAUUAUCAUGUUUUGUUCAAUGAUGACAAUCAUUAUUUUGAUUGGGACAGCAACACAAAAAAACAAAUAUAAAUUAUAACGAAAUAAAAGAAUAUGUGUAUCUAAAUGUUUUGGGCCUUAACCUUCUCUUUUGAGCCAUACUGAGGUGGACUUUGUGACGUCUGGAACAUUUAGACAGGGGGACGUGGCGGCUGAAGUGAUGUUCAUUGUUGUGCGUGGUGUGUUCCAUAAUAACUUAUCCUCCUUCCUCAGCCAAUAAGGUUUCCCUAAAUGACAUUACGCCAGGGGGAGACUCUGCAGAACCCAGGAGGCAGGAACAAGGGGACUCCCCAUAACCCGAAGGAGUCACUAUUGAUUAUUGAUCGAUUAUCGUUAAAUGACAUCAUUUAUAUUUGCUGAUUAACAUCGGAGUGUCCUUUGGAUUAUACCGUCUUGGUGUUUGAGUGAAAAUAAAAAAUGAAACUGUUGUGAGUUGCAGGUUGAUAUUCUGUGUGCAAAAUGGUCCAUGUUGCUGAUGGGACUGAGAGCCAGUGGAUACAGUCUGUGUGAGCCGCGGUGUAGUAAUGAUGACAUAUAGAAACUUACGUUGUUUUGGUCAAACGUCAUGCUUGGUUUUCAUGUGCCGCUAAUUACUUCAUAAAAAAGUUUCACUCAGAAACCGUAUUUUAAGCAAAAACAGAGGAAAUAUGCUCCAAUAUUCCUGACAGAUAUUACUAGUUUUGUUGCUACCCUGCAAAGCCCAGUAAACUUAACAGGCCGAUGCUAACAGCUAGCUGGAUAUACUCUGUGGACUCGUUUCAUGAAGAAUAGAACAUAAUAAUGAGUUUUUACUGUUGACACUUGGCUGGUAGAGCAAAUCCCCAUUGGGUUUACUGGGGAGUCCAUUGCUCUUAUUUUCUGUGUAAAAGUCAGUGCUAUUUAUAUCCUCUAUGGCUAAUCCCUGAUACUGUAGACCUCAAGAAGAAAACAGUUGCAGCCCUUCACCAUCUUUUCCUUUCUUGUUGUUGUUUUGAUGUAUUAAAACAGGAUUUUUUUUCUAAAUGAGGGACUAUAUUGUUCUGUGUUUUGAGCAGAGCAGCAAUGGGAUUUUAACGCUGAUAAAUAAAUUAUUUUGUACAGUAACGCA